rnacentral:rRNA from 1 species
CGAAGUACGUGCCAGCAGGCGCGUGAAAACGGAGGAGGCAAGGGGUAGCCGGAUGUACAGGGCGUAAAGAGCACGCAGGCGGGUAUGUAAGUCGGACGUGAAAGCUCCUAGCUCAACUGGGAGAGGUCGUUCGAAACUGCAUAGCUUGAGGUUGGAAGAGGAGAGCGGAACUCCCGGUGUAGUGGUGGAAUGCGUAGAUAUCGGGAGGAACACCAGUGGCGAAAGCGGCUCUCUGGUCCACACCUGACGCUCAGGUGCGAAAGCGUGGGUAACGAACGGGAUUAGAUACCCCUGUAGUC